rnacentral:rRNA from 1 species
ACUCCUACGGGAGGCAGCAGUGGGGAAUAUUGCACAAUGGAGGAAACUCUGAUGCAGCAACGCCGCGUGGAGGAUGACACUUUCGGAGCGUAAACUCCUUUAUAUAGGAAGAUAAUGACGGUACUAUAUGAAUAAGCACCGGCUAACUCCGUGCCAGCAGCCGCGGUAAUACGGAGGGUGCAAGCGUUACUCGGAAUCACUGGGCGUAAAGAGCGUGUAGGCGGGUUAUUAAGUCAGAAGUGAAAUCCUAUGGCUCAACCAUAGAACUGCUUUUGAAACUGGUAACCUAGAGUAUGGGAGAGGUAGAUGGAAUUUCUGGUGUAGGGGUAAAAUCCGUAGAGAUCAGAAGGAAUACCGAUUGCGAAGGCGAUCUACUGGAACAUAACUGACGCUGAGACGCGAAAGCGUGGGGAGCAAACAGGAUUAGACACCCUGGUAGCGAG